rnacentral:tRNA from 1 species
UAGGAGCUGGGGGGUUCCCUCACCCCAGCCCUCUCCCAGAGGGAGAGGGGGCGCAACGGCGUGGAAUUGUAUGCCGUGCCAGCCGGCAACUCCGGAC